ensembl:lncRNA
CUGAGCUCGGCCUGUCGCUCAGGUCACUCGUGUGGCCUCGGUCUCGGUUCUCGCGUCCGGGUGUCCGGGACUAAAAUAGCCGGCGGCGGGGCGGGGAGCCCGCAGUUGUUGGGCAGCAGCAGGUGUCGGGUGGUUGAUUCAGCCUGACGCCCGGAGACCCACACGGAGGCCCGGCCAGAGGGCUCUAGGCACCAGGCGUCCAGACCCGGGGACCGGACGGGACCCGCACUGCCUCCCGACCCAGACUUUCUCCCAACAAGUGGUCGAAGACUCAUAAAGACAAAUCCUUUUUAAUUAUCCCCCAGUCGUCUGAGCCGAUGGCCGAGGACUCGCAGAGGACUCGAAGGAAUAGCAGUCAUACUGGUCAGCUCCCAGCGUCCACCAGUAGAAGGCUGUGGCUGUACUGGUCAGCUCCCAGUGUCCACCAGUAGACUGUGGCUGUACUGGUCAGCUCCCAGUGUCCACCAGUAGACUGUGGCUGUACUGGUCAGCUCCCAGGGUCCACCAGUAGACUGUGGCUGUACUGGUCAGCUCCCAGCGUCCACCAGUAGAAGGCUGUGGCUGUACUGGUCAGCUCCCAGUGUCCACCAGUAGAAGGCUGAGGUUGACAUCGCC